AUUGAACGCUGGCGGCAGGCCUAACACAUGCAAGUCGAGCGAGCGGCGGACGGGUGAGUAAUGUAUGGGAAUCUGCCUGAUGGCGGGGGAUAACUACUGGAAACGGUAGCUAAUACCGCAUACUAUCGGAUGCGCCCAUAUGGGAUUAGCUAGUAGGUGGGGUAAUGGCUCACCUAGGCGACGAUCCCUAGCUGGUCUGAGAGGAUGACCAGCCACACUGGGACUGAGACACGGCCCAGACUCCUACGGGAGGCAGCAGUGGGGAAUAUUGCACAAUGGGCGAAAGCCUGAUGCAGCCAUGCCGCGUGUAUGAUGAAGGCCUUAGGGUUGUAAAGUACUUUCAGUAGGGAGGCGUUACCGGCAGAAGAAGCACCGGCUAACUCCGUGCCAGCCGCCGCGGUAAUAC
rnacentral:rRNA from 1 species